rnacentral:rRNA from 1 species
GAUGAACGCUGGCGGCGUGCCUAAUACAUGCAAGUCGAGCGAACAGACGAGGAGCUUGCUCCUCUGACGUUAGCGGCGGACGGGUGAGUAACACGUGGAUAACCUACCUAUAAGACUGGGAUAACUUCGGGAAACCGGAGCUAAUACCGGAUAAUAUAUUGAACCGCAUGGUUCAAUAGUGAAAGACGGUUUUGCUGUCACUUAUAGAUGGAUCCGCGCCGCAUUAGCUAGUUGGUAAGGUAACGGCUUACCAAGGCAACGAUGCGUAGCCGAGGGGAGAGGGUGAUAGGCCACACGGGAACUGAGACACGGUCCAGACUCCUACGGGAGGCAGCAGUAGGGAAUCUUCCGCAAUGGGCGAAAGCCUGACGGAGCAACGGCGCGUGAGUGAUGAAGGUGUUCGGAUCGUAAAAAUCUGUUAUUAGGGAAGAACAAAUGUGUAAGGAACUAUGCACGGCUUGACGGUACCGAAUAAGAAAGCCACGGCUAACUACGUG